rnacentral:lncRNA from 1 species
CUGAAAUCAAUGGGAGACUCCAUUGAGCUGGAACAGGCUCAGUGUAAAUCACUGCACAGGGACCUUGGAGUUUCUGGCAGAUAUUCCUCAGGCUGGAAUCCAGACAGCUUGUCUGAGCACGGAGAAACUACUCGCCUUCAGUCCUCAAAAUAUUAGCAAAAGACACUGUGUUUGCUGCUCCUUGGAUAAAAGCAUCCCUAAUGAGUCAACAUUGCUAUUCAUCUCAUGCGACUGCAGCCAAUCUUGGCUGCCAGGUGAGACGCGAUGUUGAAACAGAGAAACCAUCUCAAGGAAAUACAAGCUCUCAAAGCGUGAAUGGCUCUGCGGAUCAGAGAAGGCAUUUUGAAUUACACCUGGAAAUGAAGCGGGGAGCAGCCGAGUCCCCAGAGCACGGGUGCAGGGAUGGGGAGGAGGAGCGGUGGCAGGGCUGGCGGUGCCACCCUCGCCCAUUAGGCUCUCGCAGGUCGGGUCUGCGCACAUCGGGGAUGAUUGGGAGCAGCUGCAAGCUGAGCCCAGUGCAGCGCUCCCAAUACAUUCCAGAUGAUGAAUAUGAUGCAGGCUUACUGGAAGAAAAAUAUAUUUCUGAAGAGAAAAACAAUUACUUCUCAAGGCAAGACAAUGAAGCUGAACCGACGCUACGUGGGCAUAAAAUAGAGCAGAACUUUUGGGCAAUGGCUUUAGCUUCUAAUAAAUCACCCACCUGGAGAUACUUUUGCAGAGUGAGCUUGGAUGUAUCAGACCUCAAGUAUUUUCAGAGGGUUUUAGCUGAUCAUAAAAGAAGAGCUAUGUGUGAACACUAUCUGGCAGCUUCAUCAUAUUCUGAGGAGAUGAGAGAGUAUGAGUCCACCAUGGUCUGA